GAUUCUGAGCUGACCGGGUAGCCAUGGCCUUGCGGCUCCUGAAGCUGGCAGCGACGUCCGCGUCCGCCCGGGUCGUGGCGGCGGGCGCCCAGCGCGUGAGAGGAGUUCAUAGCAGUGUGCAGUGCAAGCUGCGCUAUGGAAUGUGGCAUUUCCUGCUUGGGGAUAAAGCAAGCAAAAGACUGACAGAACGCAGCAGAGUGAUAACUGUAGAUGGCAAUAUAUGUACUGGAAAAGGCAAACUUGCAAAAGAAAUAGCAGAGAAACUAGGCUUCAAGCACUUUCCUGAAGCGGGGAUUCAUUAUCCAGACAGUACCACAGGAGAUGGGAAGCCCCUCGCCGCCGACUAUAAUGGCAACUGUAGUUUGGAGAAAUUUUACGAUGAUCCGAGAAGCAAUGAUGGCAACAGUUACCGCCUGCAGUCCUGGUUGUACAGCAGUCGCCUGCUGCAGUACUCGGAUGCCUUGGAGCACUUGCUGACCACAGGUGCAGUAUUUCUGGGCAGUUAGAUCUGUUCUGUACUUGAACACUAUUCUAGAAUUCAACCACGUUAAAUUGCCACUGAG
rnacentral:sRNA from 1 species